rnacentral:ncRNA from 1 species
AUGGCCAGGACUUUGGCGAUGUAGGGGAUCAACGGCAGGUUCAGGAUCAACAGCACGAGGUUCCCGAUAUACAUUGAGAUGAUCACAGCCCAGAAGAUUUGAGGGUUAUCGAUCAUCAGGCGCGGGCC